GAAUAUUGGUCAAUGGACGCAAGUCUGAACCAGCCAUGCCGCGUGGAGGAUGACAGCCUUCUGGGUUGUAAACUUCUUUUAUAUGGGAAGAAAAGUACGGUAUCUACUGUAUCCGACGGUACCAUAUGAAUAAGCACCGGCUAACUCCGUGCCAGCAGCCGCGGUAAUACGGAGGGUGCAAGCGUUAUCCGGAUUUACUGGGUUUAAAGGGUGUGUAGGCGGAUAUUUAAGUCAGAGGUGAAAUCUCCGGGCUCAACCCGGAAACUGCCUUUGAUACUAUUUAUCUUGAAUUUCGUUGAGGUUGGCGGAAUAUAUCAUGUAGCGGUGAAAUGCAUAGAUAUGAUAUAGAACACCGAUUGCGUAGGCAGCUGGCUGAACGACGAUUGACGCUGAGGCACGAAAGCGUGGGUAGCGAACAG
rnacentral:rRNA from 1 species